UAGUCUCGCACAGAUGCAUAUCAAUAAGCGGAGGAAAAGAAACUAACAAGGAUUUCCCUAGUAACGGCGAGUGAAGCGGGAAGAGCUCAAAUUUGAAAUCUUAAAGGGUUUCCCUUUACGAAUUGUAGUUUAAAGAAGUGUUUUCUGUUGAGGUUUUGGUAAAAGUUCUUUGGAAUAGGACAUCAUAGAGGGUGAGAAUCCCGUAUUUGACCUUUACUUUCAACUUUGUGAUACACUUUCAAAGAGUCGGAUUGUUUGGGAAUGCAGUCCAUAAUGGGUGGUAAAUUUCAUCUAAAGCUAAAUAUUGGCGAGAGACCGAUAGCGAACAAGUACCGUGAGGGAAAGAUGAAAAGAACUUUGAAAAGAGAGUUAAACAGUACGUGAAAUUGUCUAAAGGGAAGCGUUUGACACCAGUGUUGUUUUUCUGAAAAUCAAUUAAAGAACUGUUUAUGCUAAGCUGUUUAGACUUUAUCAGCUAUCUGUUUAGUUUUGAGCUUUUCUUUAAUGCACUUUUCAGUUAACAAGUCAACAUCAAUUUCUUUUGCUGUAAAAAAGCUUGAGGAAGGUGGCUUGAGAUUCGUCUUAAGUGUUUAUAGCCUCUUGCCUAUGCAGUCGGAGAGAUUGAGGUCUGCAGCGUAGAUCCUUCGGGGCUAAAUGCAUUUGUGCUAAGUUAUAGCAUUUUAUAGACAACUUGUUGACUAUGAUUUGUCUUGUAGCUUACUCGCUUAUGUUAUUUUACCUACGCUUAGGAUGUUGAAGACUCUACAGAGAUA
rnacentral:rRNA from 1 species